UCCAUAGAGGGUGGUAGACCCGUAAAGUGGCGGCUGACCUGCAUUGCACGUUCGGUAGAGUAGGCUUGUUUGGGAAUGCAAGCUAAAGGGCAGGUAGACCCCUGCUAAGUCUAAAUAUAACAUGAUACCGAUAGCGAAAAAGUACAGUGAUGGAAAGUUGAAAAGAACUUUGGAAUGAGAGUUAAAUAGUGCGUGAAACCGUUUAGGUGGAAGUGAUCGAGCAACCUCGACGUCGCAAUGUUUUAGCUGAGCUUUAGCUUAGUGUUGCAUUGCGAUAGCUUGCGUCAAUGACUCUAGCGGGUGGCAUGCCUUUUGUGUUGGUAGAGGCGCUUGCGUCUUGAAGCACGGGAUGUCAGUCACUUGUUUGAGUGAGGAAUACUGCGUCGCCUUCGGGUUGGAGCUGUCUUUGUUAUUGGUGGUUGCGGUGGUCUGACUUUUCUGAGUCUUCUGCCGUAGUUGCUUAUGAUAGGGUACUGCUGCUUGGACGCAAACGAUUGACGCAUAAACGUUGCCUCUAAUCGUCCCGUCUUGAAACACGGACCUAGGAGUCUAGCAGUUGCGCGAGUGAUUGGGUGGUAAACCCAAACGCGUAAUGAAAGUAACCGUCGCGGCAAGCUCUUUGAGCAGCACCGUGCGUGGGCGUCAUGGCUUCUUAGCUAGGUGUCCAGCGAGAGCGUAGAUGCUGGGACCCGAAAGGUGGUGAACUAUACUUGAAUAGGUUGAAGUCAGGCGAAAGCCUGAUGGAGGACCGUAGCUGUUCUGACGUGCAAAUCGAUUGUCGAAUUUGAGUAUAGGGGCGAAAGACUAAUCGAACCACUUAGUAGCUGGUUCCUGCCGAAGUUUCCCUUAGGAUAGCUGUUACUCUUUGGAGUUUUAUCAGGUAAAGCGAAUGACUGGUGAUCUUGGGGAGCAAGUCUCCUCACUCAACUCUCAAACUUUAAAUUGGUAAGAAGCACCUUUCGCUUAAUUGGAUUGGUGCAUUGAAUCCGAGUAAUGUGUGGGCCACUCUUGGUAAGCAGGACUGGCGAUGCGGGAUGCUCCGAACGUGCGUCUAAAGAGACCUAAGGACCGCGUAUCAGAACCCAGAAAAGGUGUUGGUCGAAUUUGACAGCAAGACGGUGGCCAUGGAAGUCGGUUCCCGCUAAGGAGUGUGUAACAACUCACUUGCCGAUUCGACCGGCCCUGAAAAUGGAUGUCGCUGCAGCGGUCUUCUUAUGGCGCGCCGUUGAAGCAUGUAUCGAGUGACGAGUACGCUUCAACGAGUAGGCAGGCGUGGCGGUGGCGUGGAAGGUGCUGGCGUGAGCCACACUGGAGCCGCCGCUAGUGCAGAUCUUGGUAGUAGUAGCGAAUAGUCAAGUGAGAUCCUUGACGGCCGAAGUGGCGAAUGGUUCCUUGUAAACAGCAUUUGAACAAGGGUGAGUCGGUCCUAAGCUACAGCCGAAUGGCGUAGUGAAAGCAGAGUGAUGCCUCGGUAUUGCUCUCGCGGGCGAAAGGGAAGCGAGUUAAUAUUCUCGCGCGUCGACGUGGCUAGAAGCCUCACGGUUUCACAGCGGUAACGCAAAAGAACUCGGAGAAACUUGCGGUUACAUCGGGAAGAGUUGUCUUUUCUUGCUAACAGGCCGGCAGAGCAUGGAAUGAGUUUGGCUCGAGAUAUGCUUUACGCGCUGGAAGAGUAGUGCUUUUCUUGCGCUAUCCGAUCAGUUGCCAUUGGUCCUUGAAAAUCCGAGUGAGUGGUCCUUAUGUUCACGCGACGCCGUACAGAUAUCCGCAACUGGUCGCCAAGGUGAGUAGCCUCUGGUCGAUGGGAGAAAGCGAGUAAGGGAAGUCGGCAAAAUAGAUUCGUAACUUCGGGAAAAGAAUUGGCUCUGGGCGCCGAGUAGUCUGAGCUUAUUCAUGAAGCGGGCAUUGCCCGGCUGCUGGGCUGGGUUGCUGCUUCGGCGGCGACUUGGACCGGCGGCUAGGUUGUCUGUGGAGUGGGUUUGCUACGUCGUCUUCGGGCGGCUUCGGGCUACAAUUAACGGUGAACUCAGAACUGUCACGGUCUCGGGGAUUCCGACUGUAUAAUUAAAACAAAGCAUUGCGAUGGCGUGAGAACGUGUUGACGCAAUGUGAUUUCUGCCCAGUGCUCUGAAUGUCAAGGUGAAGAAAUUUGCUUAAGCGCGGGUAAACGGCGGGAGUAACUAUGACUCUCUUAAGGUAGCCAAAUGCCUCGUCAUCUAACUAGUGACGCGCAUGAAUGGAUCAACGAGAAUCCUACUGUCCCUACUUGCUACCCAGCGAAACUACAGCCAAGGGAACGGGCUUGGAAUAAUCAGCGGGGAAAGAAGACCCUGUUGAGCUUGACUCUAGUCAGUGAUUGUGACGAGACAUAAGAGGUGUAGGAUAGAUGGGAGUCUUCGGACGACAGUGAAAUACCAUCACUUUUAUCGUUUCUUUGCUAAUGGAGUAGAGCGAGGCUUGUCCUCCGGGACUUUAUUGUAGCUUUAAGCACCGAACUUGUUUGGUGCGACUCGAUUUCCGGAUCGUCACUGGCGGGGAGUUUGACUGGGGCGGUACAUCUGUCAAACGAUAACGCAGGUGUCCUAAGGUGAGCUCAGCGUGGACGGAAACCUUGCGUAGAGUAAAAGGGCAAAAGCUCGCCUGAUUUUGAUUUUCAGUGUGAAUAAAAACUGCGAAAGCACGGCCUAUCGAUCCUUUUGAGUAUGCGGGUGUCAUGCAAGAGGUGUCAGAAAAGUUACCACAGGGAUAACUGGCUUGUGGCAGCCAAGCGUUCAUAGCGACGUUGCUUUUUGAUCCUUCGAUGUCGGCUCUUCCUAUCCUUGAGAAGCAGAAUUCUCAAAUGGUCGGAUUGUUCACCCUCGAAUAGGGAACGUGAGCUGGGUUUAGACCGUCGUGAGACAGGUUAGUUUUACCCUACUGAUGUAUGGUUGUUAUAACGGUAAUACAGCUCAGUACGAGAGGAACCGCUGUUUCGCACAUUUGGUUUAGUGGUUCGCUGAAAAGCGAGUGCUGCAAAGCUACCAUGCGUUGAAUUAUGACUGAACGCCUCUAAGUCUGAAUUCAGCCCGGAAAUAACAAUAGACUGGGGUCUCAUUGGCGCGUGGCAACGAUAGACGUCCUCGGACGUUGGUUAAGCCUGGCGUCGUGUCUUAUGGUGAACGAGAAGUGUUCAUCUUCACUCGACAGAGCAACUGUGUCGCUGAUUAGACUUAAAAUAGCUUAUAGACGAUUUGCAUCAGGUCUGGCUAUCGUACGAGG
rnacentral:rRNA from 1 species